rnacentral:lncRNA from 10 species
GCAUGUACAGAGGAUUUGGCUAUAGCAUCUGUCCCCAAAUUAAUCACCAGGAGUGAUUUGGCUGAUCUAAUUGGCUAGAUCCCUUUCCUCCCUGACUGCUCCCUGGAUAUUUCUCCAUAUGGAGUUAUUUAAUUAGACAGAAAUAAAACUUCUUUCAUAAAUUCAUUCAUUAAAGAUUUAUUAGUUGUCCAUCAUGUGCACUGUGUUAUAGCUGCUGAGGGAU